rnacentral:lncRNA from 1 species
GCUAGUGCAGAGGCAGCGGCAGCGGCAGCGGCAGCAAUGCUAACUUCUUACUGAAGUGGGUAAUUACUUCCGGUUCUAUUUCUGCAUCAGAGCUAGUAAUACCUUGAAUAACUGAAUCAGAUGCUAAUCCUUGUUUCCAGUUACGCCUUCUAAGUAUCCUACCAUUUGCAGUACCACAAAGCACAGGCAGAUGCAGAGUCAGUAACUCAGAGCUCAGGUGCAGAAGACUAGAAGAGUUCAUCAGAAUCUCCUCAACUCGAAACAUUCAGUGCCCAAGCAUGCCAAGAGUCCAAGAUGAUGCAAAAGCAUCUCUCUUUGUUCCAGCACAUCUUCUGUUCCAGGUUUUCUUAUGUCAAUCAGCGAUGAUUUGGUACAGCACCAAGCAGAGUUGUAUGCCUGCAAUUCGGGAAGAAAUUACAGCAAGAACAGAUGGCACUAUAGCAGGGGAGGAUUACUCCUCAAACGGCUGCGAAUUAUUCCAGUUUCCAAACCAUGAAGUUUCAGCCCUAAGCAUAGAG